GGUCAGCUGACACAUCCCUGCCAAUCUCCGGCAGACCCUCCCUCCCAGACCCUCCCACCUCCUGGACAGCAUCCAUGUUGCAGCUGCCUUCAACAUGGAUGCUGUCCAGGAAGUAGGAGGGUCUGGGAGGGAGGGUCUGCCGGAGAUUGGCAGGGAUGUGUCAGCUG